UUAAAUAACCGAUUUUAAAAGUAGCACUUUUAAGAUCGAUUAAAAUUUAAUCGAUCUUGAAAGUACUUUUAAGAUCGGUUAUUUAA
rnacentral:miRNA from 1 species